CCUAUGCAGGCCUUGAAUGCCUUCUGCUCAACCUUUGUCUGCACUUUAAGAGCAACUUCAGUCUUCAUCUCAGUCAGGAUGCCCUCCAUGUCAACAGCAUAUGGUGACUAGUUAAGGGGUAGACGUGCGCCACCUGGCUCAGCCUUGAGAAUUUUGCUUGAGUUGCUGAGACAAAGAUAUGUGCUUUCCACUGGGAUAUAACUGUGGUAGAAUAAAGGAAAGACUCCCAAAAGCCACCUUUGCAACCCCAGUGAAGAGUCUAAUGGAGGGUUGACGCCAACACAGAGAAAACCAAGUCCAGGGAUGGUGAGAGACUGUGUGCGCCCCUGGAUCCAGGUACUGAAUGCUGGCUAGGUCCAUCCCUGGACUUUUCAGGUAAGGAGCUCAGAAACUGAUCACUUCGCUUGAGUUGGAAUAUCACUUGGAACAGAGUUCUAAAAUAGACCUUUUAAGCAUGUUCCCACUCCAAAAGGUGAAGAAAGCCUAAUUUUUUCCCCCAGGUUCUUGAGUGCUCAUAGCUGAUUUCUUCCUCUUCAUAUCAGUCUCUACCAUUCACUAUUGUUAAAGCCAAAAGUUAACAAGUUCACAGGAAGUACCACUUAGGGCUGAUUACCUUGCUGGGAUUCCCAAGAGUAGCAUGAGGCCUAGAGAUUUUAUAAUAACAUACGAGAUGGAGAAGCUGCAAAGGGAAGGGGAAGGGAGAGCAGGAGAGAACUUGAAUCAACUCUGCUACAGAAUUACCGAUUUCUUCCUGGGCAGCUACAUUCUGAUUAAACCAACUGCUGGGGGGUGAGGGAUGAGGAAGGAACAGACUGUGAUGACUAUCACCAUUUGAGUUUUACUCUGCUAUAUGCCGCUCUUCUAUCAAGUAACCCGAGGAAACACCUUAUAGGAAUAGCUCUCAAGACGUGGUUCCUGGGCCAGCAGCACCUGGUAGCUCGUUAGAGAUGUGUCCAGGUCAACGCUGGAGCAUGAGGAAAGCAAAUUGGGUUGAACCUCUUCACAGGACCUGCUUCCUGAGAUCUUCUCGCCAGCAGCCUGCAGUGUGGGCUUUCUGAGAACAGAGGGCAUGAGGAAACGCCACAGCCCCAGAGACGUUCUCUGCCUGCAGGUGCUGACAAUACACAGACACACACCUGUGUCUAAGUGGGCCCAUUUUCACCUCUGGGAACAGGCCCUGCUGAGGAGGGGAGGUCCUCCAGCACAGCAAGGCAAGCCUGCUCACUCGGUCCUGCUUCCCACAGUCCAGCAAGCCCUGCUGGUUGCUUGUCAUUCCCUUCCUCUCUCGUGUCACCAUCUAGCAGCAUUCUGGGAGACGAUGACCCUUCUUUUCUCACGUACUCUAAUCCCAUGUUACCCAAGUGUGGUCCGUGGACCAGCAGCACCUGCAUUACCUGGGAACUUGGAAAAGCAGAGUCUCAGGCCACACCCAACCUACUGAAUCAGAAUCUGCUUUGUACCCAGAUCUCUGAAUGAUCUUUUUUUUCCUGUUUUUUAAAUUGUGGUAAAGUAAAUGUAACAUAAAAUUUACUAGCCUAGCCAUUUUUAAGUGUAAAAUUUAGUGUAUUUAAUACUUUCACAAUGUUGUGCAACCAUCACCACCAUCCAUGUUCAUAGCUCUUUUCAUCCUGCAAAACUGAAACAAUAUACUCAUUAAAGAAUGAUUCCUCAUUUCUCCCUCCCCCGGCCCCUGGCAAUCACCAUUCUACUUUCUGUCUCCGUGAUUUCGACUACUCUUAAGUGUCUCACUCAAAUAAGUGGAAUCAUACAGUAUCUGCCUUCUUGUGACCGGCUUAUUUUUUAGCAUAAUGUCCUCAAUGUUCAUCCAUGCUGUGGCAUAUGUCAGAAUUUCCUUCCUUUUUAAGGCCAAAUAAUGUUCCGUUGUAU
ensembl:lncRNA